UACGUAGGGUGCGAGCGUUGUCCGGAAUUAUUGGGCGUAAAGAGCUCGUAGGCGGUUUGUCGCGUCGGCUGUGAAAACCUGGGGCUCAACCCCGGGCCUGCAGCCGAUACGGGCAAACUAGAAUUCGGUAGGGGAGACUGGAAUUCCUGGUGUAGCGGUGAAAUGCGCAGAUAUCAGGAAGAACACCCGUGGCUAAGGCGGCUCUCUAGUACGGUACUGACGCUGAGACGCGAAAGCGUGGGGAGCGAACAGG
rnacentral:rRNA from 1 species